rnacentral:rRNA from 1 species
UACGAAGGGGGCUAGCGUUGUUCGGAUUUACUGGGCGUAAAGCGUACGUAGGCGGAUUGUUAAGUCAGGGGUGAAAUCCUGGAGCUCAACUCCAGAACUGCCUUUGAUACUGGCAAUCUUGAGUCCGGAAGAGGUGAGUGGAACUCCUAGUGUAGAGGUGGAAUUCGUAGAUAUUAGGGAGAACACCAGUGGCGAAGGCGGCUCACUGGUCCGGUACUGACGCUGAGGUGCGAAAGCGUGGGGAGCAAACAGG